GGAUUACCUCAUGGUAAGAAUAUAAAAUAUUAAUUGUCACCACUUCUUAAAUUAUCCACAAGCAAACUUACAUAGUUAAAAUUGACUGUCAGGAAUGGCAGGAUUAAUUUAGCGCGCAGUUGUCAGAAAGAGCUCAGCCUUUAUCAGAGUGAUAGAUUUUUCAUUAGCCCAAACAAGCAUUGUGUUGUCAGUAUCCAUGGUAACCAACAAGGGAGUUCAUAGAAAAAGCUCCAGUAGUUUUGUACACCUUCUUUCAUGACCCCCCUCCUCCGGGUCUACACAAGAUUCUGUGUGGUCAAAAAGAACAACUGACUCCUGACAUCUCUCCUUUGAACUCCAUCUUGCACUGAGGCAAGUGAGCCACCCGGCCAAGGCAUAAGAGGAGCAGGGAUGGGGCUUUGUGUCUGGGUGGGGACCUCAGAAGCAUCCGCGGAGAAGAAUGAGGCUUCCGCGGGAGAGUCCCAGGCAGGAGCUCGGUAGCCCGGAAAAAGCCAAAGGGAAAGACCUUCCUGGGAUGAUCAGUAAAGAUACUUGUGAAUAAGUUAAUGCAGAAGUAGGCUACUGCCUGGAUACUAAUGUCUCACCAUACAGCAGCUCCGCAGGCAAGAAUGUCCUCUUUGGACAGAGUGGCUGUUCUACUGUUUUGGUACGCAGAAUAAAGUCAGUUUAAAAAUCA